GUCACGCUGCAUACCACCUGUUGAUUCACGUCAUGUAGCAUUUCGUAAAUAAGCUAGUCCCAUCAUCAGUUUGAUGAUUUUACAGAGGAAUGUUGGAGGAAUUAAUAAUGUUGGAGCUUCUUUCUGCUGCCGCCAUCUUGUGUCCCUCUGCCAGCUGGUAGCUGGUGAUGACGUCAGCUGCGGGCCUCGAACCGGUUUCUGCUUUGUGUUGCGGAUGCUAACCUGAUGCUAACCUGAUGCUAACCAACAAGGGAGCGAGUCGGGCUGCACAAUAGAAACACAGACGGUCACCUACAGCACCACGAGCUGCCGCGCUGUUCCCCCCUCAGGCAGGAAGUAACCUCAAUGUGCCUUUCCUGCUCACAACUUUAAAUUAAUAAUUCAAUAAAUAAAUGCAAUAUUAAAUGGUGUGACCGGAAAGUUGCUCCCUACUUUCCCACCAGCAUCGUCCCUCAGGGACAAACGGGUGCCACCUUCUAUGGCUGGAAGAAAAAAAGAAAAGAAAAAAACUUCUUUGUUUAUCAAAAUAUAAAUAAAUAAGGUGGAUUUCUUU